AAUUGGCAGUGAUGAUGAAAAUUUCAGCUUUAAUGCCAGUUCUGCUUCAGAAAAUUCUUGAUUGAUAGAGCUGUUUUGUGAUCUGAGCCAUUA